CAGUUUGCUGUUGCUAGCCCAUUGCCUAGCUGAGCUGCAUGGAACAUCUAGCAAGUAGGAGCUGGAGGCUCUUGGUCUGGGGCAUGACUUAAAACUGCACCCUGCUGGGGAAGGGUGGCCUUGUGGGGCUCCUGGUGGCAUGGGAGUCCUCAGGAAAUGUGAGGCCAGUUACCUCCUUUAUGAAAGGUUUUCCUGAGUGUGCUGUAUGUGACUGCAUCUGCUCCAGCAGAUAAGCCAGCAAGGGACCACAGGAAAGAGCAGCAUGGCUAGUGAAACAGAGAAGGGAAACUUUUCUUUGUUCUCGUCCUGCAUUUUUCAUGAGUAAAUAGGACCCGACUGUCCUCAAGAGAGAUCAAACAAUUAUCAGUGUCAGAAGGUGGUUCCUUUGGAACCUAUGGAAAAUAUCUAUUGUAUUUUUCCCUUUCUUUGCUGUAUUAAACUGAAUGUGCCUCCAAAUCAAAUCUACCAAGACACAAAUACUUCUUUUAUUAAAAGUGUAAUACAUCAUACCUUAUGUGAGGUAGCUACACUUCCAAAAGCACUGAAAAAGUUGUCAAUAUUUGUAUGUGUAAACCAGAUAUUACUGACUGAAAUAAAGCCAAUGGACAGCAAAAUGACAAGGGAGAUGAAGGGUCCCGUAAGAGAGUCUGCUUAUUUUGAUUUGAACAUGUUUCUGACCUUUCCCCAUAGUACAAAAGGAAGAAGGUUUGUUUGAAUGUUUGAAAUUUACUAAGCAGAACUACUGCAGGUUUUAUAAUAGUGUGACAAAAAUAUUACAUUUUUAGUGUUUGCUUAAUGUGCAUGUUCAAAAACAAACUCAGAACAUGAUGUACAUGUUAACUGUACUACAUAAUACAUGAAGUACUGAUACUUUAAUUCACACAUGAAACCUCCUUCUAUAUGUCAUUUCAAAGGAUUAGAAUGACCUUAAACCAAUUGUUCUUCUGUCUUUUCCUGUCAUGUCUCAAGUGCCCAACAGCCAUACAAAAACUUUCUGUUAGAGUGAAACAAAGUUAAACGUAUUAUGCUUCUGUUUCAUUUCAGCUCACAUGGUAAUUUCCCUGUUUUUCUUAAU